AGGUAUAUUCGAAGUGUAAGCACUUCUCGCCGUCCUUCAUUCCAGUCUUCAUACUUUCCUCCCAUACUCCAUUUUCACCUAUUUUUAGUGAAUUGUUAUUUCUAUAAAUUCCUUUUUACAAUUCAAUUUAGUGACCCCAAAUUUAGUAUUUACUCCGAAUUGUUUAACAAGUAAUGAUUUUCUGCACAUACUGAUAUAAAGUGUUUAAUUCAAAUUGAAAUCAGUACCAGCCAGUAAUUUUUUCUUUCUGGGAUAGAGGUUUUUGAUUUAUCGUUGUAUCGGUUGAUUUGACUAACCUGUAUAUAGAUAAUCAAUGGCCGCGGAGGGUGAAUCGAACUUGAUCGUUGGUAGUGGUGAAGAGGUGAAUGUCAACAUUCGCUGCUCUAAUGGCUCCAAAUUCUCUGUGCGGACGAGACUUGAGUCCACGGUGCAGGAAUUCAAGGCUGUGCUGGCUCAGAGUUGUGAUGUGGCAGCUGAACAACAGCGUUUGAUAUACAAAGGUCGAAUCUUAAAGGACGAGCAGACCCUGGUUAGCUAUGGUUUGCAAGCAGAUCACACUGUUCAUAUGGUGCGUGGUUCUGCACCGGCUGCCUCACUGCCUUCUAAUGGUCCUGCAAGUGCUGGAAAUGACACAAGUACUCCUAAUGUCACACUGGGUGUUGGUUCCAAUGGAGGGGACAUGGGUGCAAGUUUAGGUGCAUCUUUAUUUCCCGGGCUUGGUUUAGGUGCAGUUGGUGGCACUGGGGCAUCUGGAUUGUCUGGUGAUGGAAUUCCCGAGUUUGAACGGGUGCAGCAACAACUAACCCAGAACCCUAACAUGAUGAGAGAGAUAAUGAACAUGCCUGCCAUGCAAAGCCUAAUGAAUAACCCUGAGAUUGUACGCAGCUUGAUUAUGAGUAAUCCUCAGAUGCGUGAUAUAAUUGACCGAAAUCCUGAGCUUGGUCACAUUCUUAAUGAUCCCAGCAUUCUUCGACAAACACUGGAAGCUGCCAGAAACCCCGAACUAAUGCGUGAGAUGAUGCGGAAUACUGACAGGGCAAUGAGUAAUAUUGAAUCUUCUCCUGAAGGAUUUAACAUGCUCAGGCGCAUGUAUGAAAAUGUACAAGAACCCUUCUUGAAUGCAACAUCCUUGGGUGGUGGUACGGUGACUGAUCUGGGAUCAAACCCAUCUGCAGCUCUCUUGGCAAAUCAGAGGGUUGGUGCCCAGACACUAGAUGGAUCUAAUUCUUCAACUACUGUGUCUGAGGCCAGAACGGGGACUGCUGCUCCAAAUUCUAACCCACUUCCCAACCCAUGGACUGCUUCUGAUGGAGGUUCUCAAACAAACAAUGCUUCAAGAGCUAAUCCAACUGGACAGCCUGAUGUUGCUGGGCUAGGAGGGCUUGGUCUUCCUGAAUUGGAGCGCAUGGUGGGCAUGCCAGAUUCAUCUCAGUUCUUACGAAAUCCAGCAGCGUCGCAGAUGAUGCAAAGCUUGCUUUCCAACCCACAGUACAUGGAUCAGAUCCUGAGCUUCAGUCCUCAACUUCGUGGUAUGCUUGACGCGAACCCUCAGUUAAGAGAAAUGAUGCAAAAUCCAGAAAUUAUUCGCCAAUUGACCUCACCUGAGUUAAUGCGGCAAAUGAUGGCUUUGCAACGACUUUCACACCUUAGUCAGCAGCAAUCAACACAGGAAGGAGCUCAGACUGGUCAAGGUACAGGUAUGGAGUGACACAAUAUAAAGCUCACAGUUUAGAAAAAAGAAAAGCAAAAAAGAACACCUAACCAUAUGGGGCUGGAUGCUUUGAUGAAUAUGUUGGGUGGACUCGGGAUGGGUAAUUUUACAGCUCCAAGCACUCCCUCAGUGCCCCCAGAAGAGCUGUAUGCAACUCAACUAUCACAACUUCAAGAGAUGGGUUUCUUCGACACCGAAGAGAACAUCAGAGCUCUGCGUGCUACUUCAGGAAAUGUUCAUGCAGCUGUGGAACGACUUCUGGGGAACUCUGGAGUGUAAUUUUUUUGGGAGACACGGGGAGGCAUCUGUAAAAUUGAUAGUCGAAACCCUUUCCCUUUAGUUUCUCAAUACAAGAUGGAGCUUCUCUAUGUAGGCCAAAAGAAUAAGCAUGCGCGCGCACACACACUUCUCUAUAGUGAGAGCUGCCUGUGAAGUUUAAAGGUUUCUUUACUACGUAGUAUAGACGCUUACAAGUUACAAGCCUUUAUCUUUGCCUCUCUAUGUACAUUUUGAAACCAUUAUUUGCAAUUUCAGUGUUCGAAAUUAUUUCA